GAGUUUGAUCAUGGCUCAGAACGAACGCUGGCGGCAUGCCUAACACAUGCAAGUCGAACGAGACCUUCGGGUCUAGUGGCGCACGGGCGCGUAACGCGUGGGAAUCUGCCCUUGGGUUCGGAAUAACUUCGGGAAACUGAAGCUAAUACCGGAUGAUGUCGCAAGACCAAAGAUUUAUCGCCCAAGGAUGAGCCCGCGUAGGAUUAGCUAGUUGGUGAGGUAAAGGCUCACCAAGGCGACGAUCCUUAGCUGGUCUGAGAGGAUGAUCAGCCACACUGGGACUGAGACACGGCCCAGACUCCUACGGGAGGCAGCAGUGGGGAAUAUUGGACAAUGGGCGAAAGCCUGAUCCAGCAAUGCCGCGUGAGUGAUGAAGGCCCUAGGGUUGUAAAGCUCUUUUACCCGGGAUGAUAAUGACAGUACCGGGAGAAUAAGCCCCGGCUAACUCCGUGCCAGCCGCCGCCGUAAG
rnacentral:rRNA from 1 species